rnacentral:rRNA from 1 species
GAUGAACGCUGGCGGCGUGCCUAAUACAUGCCAGUCGAGCGAACAGAUGAGGAGCUUGCUCCUCUGACGUUAGCGGCGGACGGGUGAGUAACACGUGGAUAACCUACCUAUAUGACUGGGAUAACUUCGGGACACCGGAGCUAAUACCGGAUAAUAUCUUGAACCGCAUGGUUCAAUAGUGAAAUACGGUUUUGCUGUCACUUAUAGAUGGAUCCGCGCCGCAUUAGCUAGUUGGUAAGGUAACGGCUUACCAAGGCAACGAUGCGUAGCCGACCUGAGAGGGUGGUCGGCCACACUGGAACUGAUACACGGUCCAGACUCCUACGGGAGGCAGCAGUAGGGAAUCUUCCGCAGUGGGCGAAAGCCUGACGGAGCAACGCCGCGUGAGUGAUGAAGGUCUUCGGAGCGUAAAACUCUGUUAUUAGGGAAGAACAAAUGUGUAAGUAACUAUGCACGUCUUGACGGUACCUAAUCAGAAAGCCACGGCUAACUACGUG